rnacentral:lncRNA from 1 species
CCAGGGGUUUGCCGUCUCUGUUAACCAGAAGAGAAAAAAAACCAACGAGUAUGCGCUGACGAUGUAUUCGCGCAGUCGAGAGAGAAGAAAGGAAGAGCAGAGAGAGAACGGGAGCGUUGCCGGGAGGGUGUUCAACGGUGCCGCACCCUGGACGUCCAGGGACUUUCCUGUGCUUGCGGCGUGGAGCGUUCUGGGCCUCCUCGCCGGGCGUUGAGGACUGCGCGGGCGCCGUCGUCCGGUUGGGUCGCAGACCAGGGCGUGCUCGAAGUGGUGAAAGACUGGAGUCGCAUCUCGAGCCCAGGAAGUCGGCGGCGCGCUUCGGUAGAACUUGUGCGGCGUAACUCGGUAAGUUUCCCCUACGAAUCUUCGCUCCUCCUCAGCGUAGCCUCGAGUUGGGGGCGCGACAAAUUGGAACGACGCGGGUUGCCACUUCGGCGUCGUGCGGUGUCGAGCUCGGGCUCACAUCUCAGUCCUUUCUAGAUUAGCGUGUCGCGCUUAGGGCUGCGGAGGGGCUGGCGCAUUUGCCAGGAUCGCCGGCGAGCCGAGCGUACGGGUCUGGGGUGCUCGCUCCGCCAUGGAACGACUGGAGGUUGACGACGACGCGUCCGUCGUUGGAUCCUGAAGGAGUGUGUGAGAUUUAUCCAAGGAAACGAUGAUCAUUGGUCGUUAGAUGUGAAUCGUAGGGCCACGAUCGCAUAGCAGGCGUACCGGUUCGACGUAAUUGGCUCAGGGCGUCGAUCUGCGGUUGAACGGCUCUGAUUUCUCCGCGUUAUCGAUCGUUGUGGACCACUGGUUAACAAUCCGAGGGCCCAGAAUACGUAUAGCCUCGUUGCCUUUGUAGUCUAAUCUUGGCACUUCGUUUGGGAUCGGACGGCUAGAUCUGUGCGGUAACGCUUCGCCGCAGAGAAAUUGCUAAAGAGACCUUGACAAACAUUUGAAUCAACCCGCCGUCCCUCGCGGUUGUACUUUGAGUCUUGUGGAUGUUUAUACCGGAGCCCCUGCACUCUUUAUAUAUUCUGCGCGCAGUCCAGACUGCAAAUAAAAUCAGAGAAAUUCAUUCUAAAUUCAUUUUUAAUACAAAAAUAAUGGUAGAAACUUGUAUAAAUCAUAGAAAAUGCAUACUAAAUCCUUUUUAGUUAAUUUCAGUUUCUAUAAUUUUAUAAUAUUAUUUUUAUCAUUUAAUACCACUGUUUUGACAUGAAAGUGACAUUAAAAUUUAUAUCCCAAUUAAUCUUGUACAAAACACAUAGAAUCUUUAGAAAAUCAUAACUCCUCUGUUUUAACUCCGAUUUGAUUCAUUCAAAUUGCGUUAGUCUCGUAGCAAUGCGUAGAUUAUUAUUAUUCAGUUUGUUCUUAUGUUUGGUGUGAUGUUAAUUUUAUCUAUACCAUGUUUGUUUGUAUUGCUACGACUAGCGCGAGGACACGUGUCAUCUAAAAAGCAAGCUGGCACCUGGAAUCUCAAGUGCCAGGCAAGUUGUGCCCUUGAUCACUUCUUUUACCCACUCAUGUUCUAAUUAAUCAUAAUGAUCUGCAUAGGUUAAUUUUGAUGGGACCCAAUAGGUUACCCUAGAUUGUUUAUCUCAUUACCUUGUUUACCCCUGAAUCACUUGGGUAGUUUGCUAUUGCUUUACAUGGAUUUGGGAUAAUUAUUUAUCAUAUCUAUGUACCAGUUAUUUUGUUAUUCUAUUUAUGUUCAUGUCAAGAUCAUUAAUGUUAAUUGGAACAUAGAGCUUAACUUGAGAAACACGUGCCACCACAAGGGUUUAUGGACGCCCUUGGCUGACUAAUUAGGAAAGCUAGUGGAGGACUACCUUACCCGAAAGGGGCAAGGGCAGUAGGGGAGUGGUCAGUGUAGGGAGGUCCUUGGUUGAUUUUGCUGCGAUGGCGGUCAGGCAAGAACCCUGCAUUGGAGCUUCCUAUAAACUGUAGCGGGUUUUAUAAAGCUAGUGGAACUUUGUAAAGGCCUCGUAGUGUUACCCUGCCUCGCCUCCUUGGUAGAGGUGUAUGGGAAGUCGCGAUCCCUUGGCAGAUGGGUAACAUGACUUGUGGGUAAAGGGUACCACCUCUGCAGAGUGUAAAACUGGUAUACUAGCCGAGCUCACGGUCAUGAGCAGCUCAGGACUCUCUGAUGAUUAAAUUAUGGAACUAAAUUCAAUUUGUCAUAUGCAUUGCAUCGCAGGUGAUGUUGUUACUUUUGUUCUACUACUUAAUUGGGUUGGUAUUUACUUAUACUUAGUAAUUGCUAAUAAAAUUUUGACCAACUUUAAAAGCAAUGCUCAACUCUAACCAUCCUCUUUGGUAAGCCUUACACUUCACGUGAGCUCCCACCUUUGGCGAGUUCAUGCACAUUAUUCCCCACAACUUGUUGAGCGAUGAACGUAUGUGAGCUCACUCUUGCUGUCUCACACCCCCCCCACAGGUCAAGAACAGGUACCGCAGGAUGAGGCGCAUGAAGGAUGCUGCGAUGAGUUCGUGAGAGAGAUCUAGGCCGUCGUCUCCCAGUCAACUUUGGGUUGCUGGACCGUUG